UACAGAGGUCCCAAGCGUUGUUCGGAUUCACUGGGCGUAAAGGGUGCGUAGGUGGCCAGGUAAGUUUGGUGUGAAAGCUCGGAGCUUAACUCCGAAAAGUCAUUGAAUACUAUCUGGCUGGAGGGUCGGAGGGGAGACUGGAAUUCCUGGUGUAGCGGUGAAAUGCGCAGAUAUCAGGAGGAACACCGGUGGCGAAGGCGGGUCUCUGGGCCGAUACUGACGCUGAGGAGCGAAAGCGUGGGGGGAGCGAACAGG
rnacentral:rRNA from 1 species